rnacentral:ribozyme from 12 species
AACCACACGGCAAUCAUCUAUCUUCGGGAAGUCCAAAAAAAGAAAGAAAAAAGGGUAAUUAAAUCAAAAAAGAGAAAAAAUAUGUAUAUUAGAUGAUAUGAUUCUCUCCCCUUCUCCCCUUCCUCCUUCCUUUCUAC